GGGUUGUUAGCUCAGUUGGUAGAGCAGCGGACUCUUAAUCCGUAGGUCGAGUGUUCGAGCCACUCACAACCCA
rfam:Anopheles gambiae M scf_1925491063 genomic scaffold, whole genome shotgun sequence.